rnacentral:rRNA from 1 species
AUUGAACGCUGGCGGCAGGCCUAACACAUGCAAGUCGAGCGGAUGAAGGGAGCUUGCUCCUGGAUUCAGCGGCGGACGGGUGAGUAAUGCCUAGGAAUCUGCCUGGUAGUGGGGGAUAACGUCCGGAAACGGGCGCUAAUACCGCAUACGUCCUGAGGGAGAAAGUGGGGGAUCUUCGGACCUCACGCUAUCAGAUGAGCCUAGGUCGGAUUAGCUAGUUGGUGGGGUAAAGGCCUACCAAGGCGACGAUCCGUAACUGGUCUGAGAGGAUGAUCAGUCACACUGGAACUGAGACACGGUCCAGACUCCUACGGGAGGCAGCAGUGGGGAAUAUUGGGCAAUGGGCGAAAGCCUGAUCCAGCAAUGCCGCGUGAGUGAAGAAGGUCUUCGGAUUGUAAAGCACUUUAAGUUGGGAGGAAGGGCAGUAAGUUAAUACCUGGCUGUUUUGACGGUACCAACAGAAUAAGCACCGGCUAACUCCGUG